AAGACCACAGCAUCACAUGGUGCAGGGGUCAAAGGAGCAAUCCGGUAAGAGAUGGGCUCGGCGUCCGAUUAGCUAGUUGCGGGAUAACAGCCCACCAAGGCGACGAUCGGUAGCCGACCUGAGAGGGUGAUCGGCCACAUUGGAACUGAGAUACGGUCCAGACUCCUACGGGAGGCAGCAGUGGGGGAAUAUUGGGCAAUGGGCGAAAGCCUGACCCAGCAACGCCGCGUGAGGGAAGAAGGGUUUCGGCUCGUAAACCUCUGUCCUAUGGGACGAAGAAGUGACGGUACCAUAGGAAGGAAGCCCCGGCUAACUACGUG
rnacentral:rRNA from 1 species